rnacentral:rRNA from 1 species
AGAGUUUGAUCAUGGCUCAGGACGAACGCUGGCGGCGCGCCUAAAACAUGCAAGUCGAACGUGAAGCCCGAGCUUGCUCGGGUGGAAAAGUGGCGAACGGGUGAGUAACACGUGAGGAACCUGCCCUGAAGACCGGGACAACAUCGGGAGACCGUUGCUAAUACCGGAUACCUUCGAGUGAUCGCAUGGUCGAUCGAAGAAAUGGAUUCCGCUUCAGGAUGGCCUCGCGGCCUAUCAGUUUGUUGGUGAGGUAACGGCUCACCAAGACGACGACGGGUAGCUGGUCUGAGAGGAUGUCCAGCCACACUGGGACUGAGACACGGCCCAGACUCCUACGGGAGGCAGCAGUUAGGAAUCUUGCGCAAUGGACGAAAGUCUGACGCAGCGACGCCGCGUGCGGGAUGAAGGCCCUCGGGUUGUAAACCGCUUUCAGCAGGGACGAAAAUGACGGUACCUGCAGAAGAAGCCCCGGCCAACUACGUGCCAGCAGCCGCGGUAAUACGUAGGGGGCGAGCGUUGUCCGGAUUUAUUGGGCGUAAAGAGCUCGUAGGUGGUUUGGUAAGUCGGAUGUGAAAUCUCCAGGCUCAACCUGGAGGGGUCAUUCGAUACUGCCAUGACUAGAGUUCGGUAGGGGAGUGUGGAAUUCCUGGUGGAGCGGUGAAAUGCGCAGAUAUCAGGAGGAACACCCGUAGCGAAGGCGGCACUCUGGGCCGAUACUGACACUGAGGAGCGAAAGCGUGGGGAGCGAACAGGAUUAGAUACCCUAGUAGUCC